rnacentral:tRNA from 2 species
GGGGUAGUAGCUCAAUGGUAGAGCCUUAGUCUUCCAAACUAAUUACGCGGGUUCGAUUCCCGUCUACCCCUCCA